GGAAUAAGACAAUCGCUGGUGAAAGUAAUUUUAGGUUUUUGAACAGGUUGUGCUCUUGAGGCAAAGAACCAGCGUGCAGCCCACACUUUCUUCUUCAUAGUCCUUUCGGUAGAUGUCCACUAGAUGGCGACACUGUAACAGGAGCCAGACGCGCUCACGCAUACAGACGCCACCUGCUCACAGAGAUAAUGUUUCAGUACAACACAACUUUCCGGAGUUAAUAAACGGAAUCGUACAUCGUCUCAAAGUUACGAAGCAACUAAAAAGAUCAGAAGGGUAAAAUAUGACAUUGUAGGUAAAAAGAGGGACAGAGACGCAGUUCAAUGCGAAAAGGGCGACGUGCGUAGCGCUGCUCUCUGGCGCCCUCUGCGGCCGGAACGACCGGCGACAGGACGCCGCACAGCGCCAGCGCCAGCGCUUCGCACCGGAUUAAUGUGCGUGCGUGCCCGUGCACGAUGCGCGUCCGCCGCGCGCACGUCGUUUAGAUUGUUCGCUACGAUCGCCUCAGCUGCGGCUGCUCCCCUCCGGCGGACCAUGUCCAGGCGCCGCUAGCAGCGAGCUAACAUACAGUGACUGGGUGCCACACAGCCGGCUGGCGGCUCCGCUUCGAGGCCCCGCAGGUGUCUGUUGUUCCUCCGCUGGGAUCAGUGUGAGUGACGCUGAGCAGUUGGUGCCAGCCGAGAUGAAGGUCGCCGUGGAUUUCGACGAGUGUCUCAAGGACUCUCCCAGGUUCCGGGCCACGAUAGAAGAGGUAGAGGCAGAUGUUUGCGAGCUGGAAUCCAAGCUGGACAAGCUGGUUAAGUUGUGCAUAGGAAUGAUCGACGCUGGAAAGGCUUAUAACGUGGCCAGCAAACACUUUGUCCACGGGAUCCAGGAGCUAGCGCAGCAGUCUGCCAAAGACGAGGUCGUAGAGUCAAACCUGACCAAGUUUGCAGAAACUCUGCAGGAGAUGAUCAACUAUCACACAAUUUUAUUUGACCAAGCCCAAAGAUCUAUCAGAUCACAACUUCAGAUUUUUAUGAAAGAGGAUUUGCGAAAGUUCAGGGAGGCCAAGAAGCAGUUUGAUAAGGUGAGCGAGGAAAAGGAGGUGGCGCUGGCCAAGAAUGCCCAGGCAGCACGUAACAAGCAGCAAGAGGUGGAGGAGGCCACCAACAUCCUGACGGCCACACGCAAGUGCUUCCGCCACGUCGUCCUGGAUUACGUGCUGCAGAUCAACGUCCUGCAGUCAAAGAGAAGAUCUGAAAUUCUUAAAUCGAUGCUGUCCUUCAUGUACGCUCACCUGACCUUCUUCCAUCAAGGCUACGACUUGUUCAGCGAGCUGCAGCCACUCAUGAAGCAGCUCGGGGGACAGCUGGACCAGCUGGUGAUUGAUGCAGCCAAAGAGAAGCGGGACAUGGAGCUGAAGCACUCCACCAUCCAGCAGAAGGCUGCCCUGCAGGACUUUUCGAAUGACGACACCAAGCUGGAGUACAAUGUGGAUGCAGACAAUGGAAUUGCCAUGGAGGGAUAUCUCUUCAAGAGGGCCAGCAAUGCCUUCAAGACAUGGAAUAGGCGUUGGUUCUCCAUUCGAAACAAUCAGCUAGUCUACCAGAAGAAAUUCAGGGACAACCCCACAGUGGUGGUGGAGGACCUGCGGCUGUGUACGGUGAAGCACUGCGAGGACAUUGAGCGUCGCUUCUGCUUUGAGGUGGUGUCUCCGACGAAGAGCUGCAUGAUGCAGGCAGACUCGGAGAAGCUCCGACAGGCCUGGAUCAAGGCCGUCCAGAACAGCAUCGCCACGGCCUUCCGGGAAAAAGGCGAGGAUGUGGAUAAGCUCGACAGAAGGUCGUCCGCGUCGGCGUGCAGCCUGGAGUCGGGAAGCGAGUCCCAGGACAGGUCCCUCAAAGGGGAGAGCGCUCUGCAGCGGGUGCUGGCCAUCCCUGGCAACGACAGGUGCUGCGACUGCGGAGCCGCCGACCCGCGCUGGGCCAGCAUCAACCUGGGUAUCACGCUGUGCAUCCAGUGCUCCGGCAUCCACAGGAGUCUGGGCGUCCACUUCUCCAAGGUGAGGUCCCUCACACUGGACACCUGGGAGCCAGAGCUGCUCAAGCUGAUGUGUGAGCUUGGGAACGCGGUGAUCAACGGGAUAUACGAAGCGCGACGACAGGAACUGGCCACCAGGAAGCCACGGGCUGGAGACUCAAGACAAGAAGCCGAGUCCUACAUCAGGGCAAAGUAUGUGGAGAAGAGGUUCGUGCACAGGCCGUCCCCUGCCGAGCAGAAGGCCAAGCUCCUCGCCCUGAGCAGACAGGAGAAGAGGUCCAGUAACAGCUCGGGUCACCUGCCCCCACGGCCACCACCUCCCACACCUCAGCUGCGCCCUGCCUCCAGUGUGACAGCAGCGGCCAGCGGUGAGGAGGAAGGCAAAGAGUCUCUCUUCUGUCCCGAUGAGCUUGACUCACUCUUCUCCUACUUUGACACGACUUCCCAGCUGAGGAGUAUAAAGAGCGCCGAUAGCGGUAUCCAGAACAGCGCUGAAGGCAGCAGAGAGAUGCUGGCCUCCACACCGUCCGCCAACAGUCUCAGCGAAGCAGAUGGCCGCGUGUUGCGUGUGACAGAAGCCCCAGAUCCAACCCCCCUGCCACCACACGCACGGGGGUCCGCUGUUCCCCGGGAGCCCAAGCCAUACUCCCCUGGCCUGCAGCUCUUCUGGGCGUCCUGCGCUGGCAGUCUGCCCGACAUGGCUGAGGCGAUGGCCCACGGCGCAGAGGUCAACUGGGCCAAUGUGGACGAUGACAAGAAGACGCCUCUGAUCAUGGCGGUGCAGGGGGGCUCCCUGGUAACCUGCGAGUUCCUGCUCCAGAACGCGGCCAGCGUGAACCAGCCAGACGCCUACGGCCGAGGCCCGCUGCACCACGCCACCACCUUGGGCCACACUGGCCAGGUGUGUUUGUUUCUCAAGAGAGGGGCCAGUCAGAACGCAGUGGACAUCGACAACAAGACUCCGCUGGCCAUCGCCGUGGAGGCUGCCAACGCCGACAUAGUCACUUUACUCCGUCUGGCCAAGAUGAACGACGAAAUGCGGGAGUCGGAGGGGCCCUACGGCCAGUCAGGUCAAUACGCAGCCAACAGCCACACGGAGAUGCAGUACAGGAAGUGUAUGCAGGAGUUCAUAAGCCGGCAGCUGGAAGAGACUUAAUCGACAGACUGAGGCCGAGUCCAAAACCGCAUACAUUACUGUACUUCCAUACUAAAUACCGGUGUGAGUGACCCAAAAAGACACAGUGAGGUCCUACAUUUGGUCAAAAAGGGAAUAUGGCAUUAAGAUGUGUAUGAAAGGGGAAUGUAAAACAUGGUAGGGCACUUUUGCAACGACAGACUAGAUUAAUUUUAUAAUAUGUGCUGAAUUAAACGAUUGAUGCCGUUAGUUAAUAGCUAGCAAAUAAAAGCUCGAUAACAUAUGAGCGGUCACACGAAUACAUAGCACAUGUAUUUGGAAAGAAGAGCAGCGUGUAGGACUACACGUCUGGAAAAAAAAGAGACAGACUAUGUAAUUUGCGGUACUUUAGUAUGUUUUGUCUGCUAUGUGGUUCUGGACAUAACCAAAGUGAGUAGGAGCCAACAGCCAAGCUGGAGCAACGCCUAAAUCGGAGAUGUACUGAUGCCAUUUCUGUGUGCAAUACUGUGUUUUUUUUUUCUAGAUUCUGGUUGUUCAGGAAGCUUCGUCUCAUAUCAGUGUGUAGAAUAGUACUGUCAGUUCCUUAAAAAUAACUGCGUAGCCACAGCUGUCAUGUCAGUUUCGGUCUUUCAGCCGCAGUAGCGCUAUGAAACUGCAAAUGCUCCGAUCCCGCCAUACAUUGCGUAAUUCUUCCCUACUCAGUCUUAAUGUUAUCAGUCUAAUGGUUUGAUUAGUUUGUCGCUAUGGUAACAUGAAGGUUUUUUUUUUUUUUUUUUAAGUAAUUUUACAGUUUUUACACGUUAUACCCAUCAGGAAAAUACAACGUUCAUACAUGUAGUAUAUGAGUUUGUGUAUUUCUUGAAGAGUUGUAUAAAAUAGGAAACUGGAAUGAUUUUUUUAUGAAAUAUACCCUGGCUCCGCAAUUUAUAAGCACGUUUGGAUCGGAAAACUGUAACUCGGAAGCUACUUCUACCCUUACGUCCCAGUCAGCGAUUGACAUCUGAGACCUUAAGGUGAACUGGAGGAUCCAUGUUCGAGUUCCACCUUUUGCGGGAGUAGUGUUAAGCAGCUUACCUACCACGAAUCGAUACAGUAAAAAUUACCCAGUUGUAUCAAUGGUAAAUCACUGUAAACAUCUUAGGAUACAAGUGUUUUGCUUUGGACAAAAGCGUGCAAUUCCGAGUAAAGAAAAGUGCAUCACCAAUAGACAGAGAUACAUAGACAUAUAAUUCUCAAAGUAAAAUGAAAAUAUUUUCAACCGUAUAUUACUAUUAUUAUUCUACAUUAGUAUUGUUUUAACAUCAGUAACGUGUGAAAUUAGAGGGAAAAAUAACAAAGCCAUAUUAUACAAUGUAGCAUUCAUGCAUGUUAACCGUCAACAUAUUCUUACGGUUCAAAUAACUCCAUUCAGUACCACUGUUUUUGCCAGCGUACAUACUUCGCUGCAGGAAGAUCUGUGAAUAGAAGAGAUGAUCAGAGAAUGUGGUGAAAGUUUUUGGAGCGGAUAGGAGGUCGUGACGCUUGAACGAACGUGGUCACUUGGGGAAAAAAGAUGCUGUAAAUAGUUGCUCCGACCCUCUCGGCACCGACGCUCUGUCCACUUUAUACGUUUCAGGCAACGAGCAGAUUGUGAUUCCUUGGCUUAAGAGGAAAAUAAGCGAUUUCACUUUAGGAAUUAGGCAGCACAAGAAAAUCCUUCUGUUGUACAGUGUGUGACCACAGCAAGACGCAGGUAGUGAGUAACCUGUGUGGCCUUGAAUAUCUGAGCUGUAACUUUGCACCUCGAUCAGUUCUCAUUCUCUUUAUUGCCUCAACGAACCACUUUUUAAAAACAUUCCUCCUCUUGUUCUUUAUGAAACUAUAUAAUGUGGACAGUAGUAUAAAGAUAGAUUGUUUUGGUUUAGCAAUAAAAAUAUAUAGUGAACAUAGCCAUAGUCGCUUCCUUAAGAGUAAAUGCGGGGGGAAAAUAUUUCCCCUUUGCCAUAUUUACAAUCCUUGAAUGUUGUACUGAUUUAGCAGUAAUUUAUGAAGCAGAUUAUUGUAUAAAUGUCUACAAAUGAAUUUAUACUGCAAAUGUGCCAUAUUUUUUUCUUCUGUUUUUAUAAAUUCAGGGGAAUUAGUGCAUUACAUUGAGUAGAUGAAGAAGUGAUUAAUAUGUGGUUAUGGAACCACAGCAGGUAAAAUACCUCAUAUCCCCAAGUGUUGAGCCAGCAGUGAUACUAGGGUUCUGUCUUUCUCCCCUCACACACAGUGUUUGUACUGAUGUAUUUGUGGAUGUGUGUAUUGUAUGUAUGUAAGAAAUUUCACAACACUCUUUUUAUUUAGCAAGUUUUCUCAGUAGCUCAUUGCAGGACAGGUGUUGGUUAUUGCUGAGAUUCACAAAACAGCGAUGUAAAAUUUCCACUUAUGAACUCCUACACUGACACGUCAUGAUUUAAAAAGUACGCAUUUCUUAGCUGUGAGCAUGAGAUAAGUGUUUGCCUUAAAACUGAAAUUAUUUGUAGCUUAACGCUGUCAGAAAUGCCAAGUCGCGGUGAAGUAGUAAGAGAUACGAACGUUUCACGUUCCUUAAUCACACAUUUACUUCUGCCGCCGCUCCCUGUCGCUGAUGGUCGUCCUCUUUUCUCAUCUGUCACCUUGGCGUCUGAGUCUUGUCUGUCCCUCCGCUUUCUCCUUAACAGUGCGGCCCAGCGCGGCUGUGCUUUUGUACACGAAACACGCACUUUAAAUACAACUCUGCUACGAACUGAACCCGCCUUUGUGAGUCAUUGCGUUGUGCUCUGUUUCAUUGUGUAUAUAGGUAUUGCGUUCUUGGCAACAUUGAACAUGCUCUUGUUUAUUGCGGAGGGGUUUGUGGCCCAUCUGAUGGACUCACACUGGGGAAACUCUUCCUCCCUCCCUCUCUGCGUGCCACCGGUGUACUGAGUUACUGUGUGACCUCAGCGGUGCCAUUUCUCUCCGCGUUUCCACUCCGCUCUGUUCUCAGCUCCUCGACUCUUCCACUUUAACUCUUCUUCUUUUCUCUGUUGAGCUGCUCUUGCCCUCCAGCAGGCGAUGAAACCUAUCAAGACAUCUUCCGGGAUUUCUCCCAAAUGGCGUCGAGCGAUCCAGACAGACUGAACCGAU